UGGGGAAUUUUGGACAAUGGGGGAAACCCUGAUCCAGCCAUCCCGCGUGUGCGAUGAAGGCCUUCGGGUUGUAAAGCACUUUUGGCAGGAAAGAAACGUCAUGGGUUAAUACCCCGUGAAACUGACGGUACCUGCAGAAUAAGCACCGGCUAACUACGUGCCAGCAGCCGCGGUAAUACGUAGGGUGCAAGCGUUAAUCGGAAUUACUGGGCGUAAAGCGUGCGCAGGCGGUUCGGAAAGAAAGAUGUGAAAUCCCAGAGCUCAACUUUGGAACUGCAUUUUUAACUACCGGGCUAGAGUGUGUCAGAGGGAGGUGGAAUUCCGCGUGUAGCAGUGAAAGGCGUAGAUAUGCGUGGGAACACCGAUGGCGAAGGCAGCCUCCUGGGAUAACACAGACGCUAAUGCACGAAAGCGUGGGGAGCAAACAGG
rnacentral:rRNA from 1 species